rnacentral:lncRNA from 1 species
UAAUAUAUGUAGCACUAACACUUGAUUUUUUCACAACCCAAUUCCAAAAUUUGUAAUUGUUACUGCAGCAAACAAUAAUUUUCCAUUAUUGACAGUCUCCUUCUCCACCACAAAAUAUUUCGCAAAUCCAUGCUUACAUGAUAGCUAUGGGCGUUUCCUUAGGCAAUCAUUGAAGAGAUGGGGCUUAGCUUUACAACUAUGACAGAUUCCAAAGUUCCCUAUGAUCAUUCUAAUCUACAAAGAAAGAAAAUGAACCAUACAACACAACUAAAAACACACGGCACCAAACAACAGCAAACAAACACCAAACACUAGAGAUUCAAACUGGAAGUAAUUGUAAAACAACAGAAAAAUCUUUAAAACUACUUUCAACAAACAGGUGGGUUACUCAUUGUGGGUUGUUGGAUAAAAUUAUUACAUCGUUGGCGGCUUCCUUCUCAUCAGAGCACAACAAAGAAAUUGAAAUAGAUUUACGGAUAAGUGCUGUGCUAAAGUGAUAACACGGCGACGGCUUGGGAAAAUGAUGUCCUUUUCAGACCACCGUUAAGCUUCGCUGGGUUCCAUAGUCGAUUUAAAUAUUUGGGGUCUACUUGCAAGCUCCGGUGGCUACCGAAGAUGGUGAAGGGCUGGAGAUGGUGACACGUGCAGCACCGAACCCUUCAAUUGAAUUGAGAAGGGUUUCAGCUGUGGGGAUUUUGCACUUUUGGAGAAAUAUGGAAAUGAAUUUGACACAUUUUCAAAAGUUGUUUUCCGCCUUUAUUUUUUAUUUUUUAAUGCCAUAUCAACCUGGAUUUACCCAGUUUCUAUUGCCC